CAUACAUGAUUAUAUAUGCUAAUUCAUCAAUCAUAGCAUGAAGUUUCACAUAUGGAAUAAGGCACACUCCCUAAAAUACGUUGAAAAUGAUACUUUCACUUAUUUGUACCUUAAUUCCUGAGAUUACACAGCUCUCUUUUUGAUGUUGCACAUUUAGACUUGUAAAUCAAUAUUAGGAAUAUGAAGUAUGCAGUUUAUCAAUAUAAUCUCUAUAAACACAACAGGCAAUUUGUGAUGCCCACAUGAGGAUCACAAGUCUAAAUGCGUCAUGGCCAGGCAGUGUCCAUGAUUCAUGGAUUUGGAACGAUUCAGCCUUAAAAGACCAGUUUGAAAAUGGGUUACAUGACGGGCUUCUACUGGGAGAUUCUGGUUAUGCUUGCAGGAAGUACUUGAUGGCUCCAUUUCUCCAGCCUGUAGGCAGAGGUCAAGAACGAUUUAACAGAAGCUUGUGUAGAACUAGAUAACUAAUAGAACAGACUUUUGGUGUUUUGAAGGCUAGAUUUCCAUGCUUAAGAUUCGGACUCAUGACAUCAGAAAUGGUAGUUUUAACUACUUCUGCUUGUGUUGUGCUUCACAACAUCGGAAUCUUCAUGUUGGAUGUAGUGGAUGUGGAGCUUGAGCAUGACAAUCAGCUCCACAUCCAAGACCAGGAUUGCGCGGUGCAGCAGCAUGUGGUCACAUAGACAUGGUCAAUUUUUUCCUGGCUAGAGGAGCUGAUCCGGCUAAGUCUGAUGUCUUGGGCCAAGCAGCUGAGGAAGGUCACACAGACAUUGUGAAGAUAUUUCUGGAAAAAGGAGCCGACGUUAAUAAG